GCACCCAUCCCCGGGUUAUGAAGAAGGCCUUCGGGUUGUAAAGUACUUUCAGCAGUGAGGAAGGUGGGUAUGUUAAUAGCAUAUUCAUUUGACGUUAGCUGCAGAAGAAGCACCGGCUAAUUCCGUGCCAGCAGCCGCGGUAAUACGGAGGGUGCGAGCGUUAAUCGGAAUUACUGGGCGUAAAGCGCAUGCAGGUGGUUUGUUAAGUCAGAUGUGAAAGCCCGGGGCUCAACCUCGGAAUUGCAUUUGAAACUGACAAACUAGAGUACUGUAGAGGGGGGUAGAAUUUCAGGUGUAGCGGUGAAAUGCGUAGAGAUCUGAAGGAAUACCGGUGGCGAAGGCGGCCCCCUGGACAGAUACUGACACUCAGAUGCGAAAGCGUGGGGAGCAAACAGGAUUAGAUACCCUGGUAGUCCACGCCGUAAACGAUGUCUACUUGGAGGUUGUGGCCUUGAGCCGUGGCUUUCGGAGCUAACGCGUUAAGUAGACCGCCUGGGGAGUACGGUCGCAAGAUUAAAACUCAAAUGAAUUGACGGGGGCCCGCACAAGCGGUGGAGCAUGUGGUUUAAUUCGAUGCAACGCGAAGAACCUUACCUACUCUUGACAUCUACAGAAGCCAGCGGAGACGCAGGUGUGCCUUCGGGAACUGUAAGACAGGUGCUGCAUGGCUGUCGUCAGCUCGUGUUGUGAAAUGUUGGGUUAAGUCCCGCAACGAGCGCAAUCCUUAUCCUUGUUUGCCAGCACUUCGGGUGGGAACUCCAGGGAGACUGCCGGUGAUAAACCGGAGGAAGGUGGGGACGACGUCAAGUCAUCAUGGCCCUUACGAGUAGGGCUACACACGUGCUACAAUGGCGCAUACAGAGGGCGGCCAACUUGCGAAAGUGAGCGAAUCCCAAAAAGUGCGUCGUAGUCCGGAUUGGAGUCUGCAACUCGACUCCAUGAAGUCGGAAUCGCUAGUAAUCGUGGAUCAGAAUGCCACGGUGAAUACGUUCCCGGGCCUUGUACACACCGCCCGUCACACCAUGGGAGUGGGCUGCAAAAGAAGUGGGUAGUUUAACCUUCGGGAGGACGCUCACCACUUUGUGGUUCAUGACUGGGGUGAAGUCGUAACAAGGUAACCG
rnacentral:rRNA from 1 species